rnacentral:rRNA from 1 species
AACGACUCUCGGCAACGGAUAUCUCGGCUCUCGCAUGAUGAAGAACGUAGCGAAAUACAAAACUUGGUGUGAAUUGCAGAAUCCCGUGAACCAUCGAGUCUUUGAACGCAAUUGCGCCCCAAGCCUUCUGGCCGAGGGCACGUCUGCCUGGGUGUCACA